rnacentral:rRNA from 1 species
AUUGAACGCUGGCGGCAGGCCUAACACAUGCAAGUCGAGCGGAAGAAGGGUGCUUGCUCCUGCAUUCAGCGGCGGACGGGUGAGUAAUGCCUAGGAAUCUGCCUGGUAGCGGGUGAUAACGUCCGGAAACGGGCGCUAUUACCCCAUACGUCCUGAGGGAGAAAGUGGGGGAUCUUCGGACCUCACGCUAUCAGAUGAGCCUAGGUCGGAUUAGCUAGUUGGUGGGGUAAAGGCCUACCAAGGCGACGAUCCGUAACUGGUCUGAGAGGAUGAUCAGUCACACUGGAACUGAGACACGGUCCAGACUCCUACGGGAGGCAGCAGUGGGGAAUAUUGGACAAUGGGCGAAAGCCUGAUCCAGCCAUGCCGCGUGUGUGAAGAAGGUCUUCGGAUUGUAAAGCACUUUAAGUUGGGAGGAAGGGCAGUAAGUUAAUACCUUGCUGUUUUGACGUUACCAACAGAAUAAGCACCGGCUAACUUCGUG